GAUCGGAAUUCGUAUUAGACGAGGGAAAUUCCGAUAACGGGAGCAACGAGCUAGCUCGUUGGGCCAAAAAAAAGAUUUUUCCUCUGUUAAUGAUGCGUAGCUGAGAGGUCACAGUUAUACUGAAACAAGGAUAACCGCGCUAAUGCGCGCCAGCAGUAGAGAAUUUUGGGCAAUCAACGAAAGUUGGACCCAGAGAUGUCGCUUUUUUUGGGGGUUGGGGGAUCCGGGGCGAUCCUUCAGAUCGCCGGGUCCCUUUCCCCCACUUUUCAAGUCCGUCAAAAAGACGUGCCAGCAGACGCGGUUAUACGUCUGGACUAAGUUUUAGCCAAAAAACAGGCGUAAAGUGUGAAGAGGGUGAACGAAAAAGAAGGCGCGGUUUUUUUAAAAGAAUCCCGUUUUUAUGUAGAGAAAAAAAAAGGUAAUUGGAACUUUUAGGUAUUGGUGAAAUAAUUCGAUCUAAAAAGGAACACCGGAGACGAAAGUUAAUUACCAAAAAGUUCUGUCGCUUUUUUCACGAAAACAUAGGGAGCAAACAGGAUUAGAUACCCUGGUAGUCUAUUGUUGUAAAAGCUGAUCUAACGCGGCAAAAAUUUUAUGUCGCCUUGAUAACUCGAAAAGAUUCCGCCUGAAUAGUACGACCGCAAGGUUGAAAUUCAAAAAAUUUGGCGGUUCACUAAUCCAAUUAGAGGAGCGUGUAGUUUAAUGCGAUGAUCCGCGAAUAACCUUACCAGAACUUGAAUAAAAGGAAUAGAUAGGGAUCGUAAAUCCCGGGGCGCCAACCAUUGGCGCCCCUCCUUUUACAGGUAUCGCACGGCCGUCGUCAGUUUGUGUUGUGAAACUUUUUUAACGAACUUAACCCCUUUUUUAGAUAAAAAGGGGGCAAAAAGAGGGGAAAAAAUCUUUUUUUACCAGCAGGGGCGCCUCUGGCGCCCCCCCCCCUUUUUUAUCUUUUUUUUGGGAUGACGUCAGGUCCUCAUGGUCCUAAUGUUCUGGGCGCGGGGCUCGGGGGGGGGAUCCUAUGGAUCCCGGCGCCCCCCCUCCCCCGCCAUGCGCUACAAUCUUUUCUACAAAAAUGAAUAUUCUUUUUUUUAAUUCUUUUUAAUAUGAAAGUUCGGAGAAAGACCUGAAAAGUUCUUUUGAAGUUGGAUUUAAUAGUAAUCGUAAAGUAGAGCGUUACGGUGAAUAUGGCUCUAGUGUUCGUACAAAUCGCCCGUCAACUUGGCCGAGUUUUAAAUGUUGAAAAAACUUAAAAACUUUUUAGUAUAUAUCGAGGGAUCCUUUGGAUCCCGCCAACCUCGUUUGGUGUCUUACCUUCGUUUUUCAAAAAAGCUUUUUAUAUUUUUAGACUUUCGAAAUUAGGUUGAGUAAGUCGUAACAAAGCAAGAGUACUGGAAAGUGUUCUUGACUAAU
rnacentral:rRNA from 1 species